GGAAUCCAUUUCUGUGUAAAGAUUUGCUGCAGGGUUUGUGAUUGGAGGAUGGAGAAAUGUCCAAUUGGGUUUCCAGACGUGCUUCGCUAAUAGGCAAGAGUCAAGACCUUCCUCUCCAAGGAGUCUAGUUAAAGAAGAAAAUCCUACCUGACUAAAGAAGGAGGGAUUGCUGCCCCCAGGAACCAGAUUAGACAAGAAGAGAGAGGAAUGUGGAGGUAUAUAUGAUGGAAAUUGAAGAAUGCGAGACUUUGACCCCCUUGAACCUACCAGAACAAGAAAAAGCAUAUAUGGUUAAUGCUUAUUCCUGCCUCAAAGAAAGUUUGGAGAGGGGUGGAACUAAUAAGAGAAAGCUUGCCCAGAUUUAGCUCCGGCCGUUGGAAGAUCCCUCUUCAGGGCACAUGUAGAGGGUCAACUGAAGGCAGAGUGAUAUAAUGUCUAACCCUGAACUAUUUGUGACACUGAUCUGGAAUAGCCUCUAGCACUUUUGGAUCAAAAGGAGAUUAUCAUUACACAGACAACGAUGCAACACUUUUCUUCCUAAUGAUAUGGGUUGGCGGGAUCUAUUUGACAUUUGGUGGUGCCUAUGUGGCUUAUGCUGAAGCAAACUCAGGCUCCGACCUGAUCAGUUUGAAAAAUUCCUCAUAUGAUGUUCAUGUUGUAUCUACUUGGA